UGGGGAAUAUUGCACAAUGGGCGCAAGCCUGAUGCAGCCAUGCCGCGUGUAUGAAGAAGGCCUUCGGGUUGUAAAGUACUUUCAGCGGGGAGGAAGGGAGUAAAGUUAAUACCUUUGCUCAUUGACGUUACCCGUAGAAGAAGCACCGGCUAACUCCGUGCCAGCAGCCGCGGUAAUACGGAGGGUGCAAGCGUUAAUCGGAAUUACUGGGCGUAAAGCGCACGCAGGCGGUUUGUUAAGUCAGAUGUGAAAUCCCCGGGCUCAACCUGGGAACUGCAUCUGAUACUGGCAAGCUUGAGUCUCGUAGAGGGGGGUAGAAUUCCAGGUGUAGCGGUGAAAUGCGUAGAGAUCUGGAGGAAUACCGGUGGCGAAGGCGGCCCCCUGGACGAAGACUGACGCUCAGGUGCGAAAGCGUGGGGAGCAAACAGG
rnacentral:rRNA from 2 species